rnacentral:rRNA from 1 species
CAGUCGCCGCGGGAAUACGUAGGUGGCAAGCGUUGUCCGGAAUUAUUGGGCGUAAAGCGCGCGCAGGCGGUUUCUUAAGUCUGAUGUGAAAGUCCCCGGCUUAACCGGGGAGGGUCAUUGGAAACUGGGAGUCUUAGAGUGCAGAAGAGGAGAGUGGAAUUCCAUGUGUAGCGGUGAAAUGCGUAGAUAUAUGGAGGAACACCAGUGGCGAAGGCGACUCUCUGUCUGUAACUGACGCUGAGGCGCGAAAGCGUGGGGAGCAAACAGGAUUAGAUACCCCCGUAGUCCCUGUCUCUUAUAC